UACGGGGGGAGCAAGCGUUGUUCGGAUUUACUGGGCGUAAAGGGCGCGUAGGCGGUCAGCACAAGUCAGUUGUGAAAUCUCCGGGCUUAACUCGGAAAGGUCAACUGAUACUGUGCGACUAGAGUGCAGAAGGGGCAACUGGAAUUCUCGGUGUAGCGGUGAAAUGCGUAGAUAUCAGGAGGAACACCGGUGGCGAAGGCGGCUUCCUGGACAAAAACUGACGCUGAGGCGCGAAAGCUAGGGGAGCAAACAGG
rnacentral:rRNA from 1 species